GGCUCAAUGAUUUUUACCAGUCUAUCUGGUUAUAUACGCUAUUCUGAUUUCAGCUGUUGACAAAAUAGUAUUUAUGAGAGCU